UGGCGGACGGGUGAGUAACGCGCAAAGAACUUGCCCUUUAGACUGGGAUAACAGAGGGAAACUUCUGAUAAUACUGGAUAAGUUAGUAUAUCGCAUGAUAUACAAAUGAAAGCUACGGCACUAAAGGAGAGCUUUGCGUCCUAUUAGCUAGUUGGUAAGGUAAGAGCUUACCAAGGCGAUGAUAGGUAGCCGGCCUGAGAGGGUGGACGGCCACAAGGGGACUGAGAUACGGCCCUUACUCCUACGGGAGGCAGCAGUU
rnacentral:rRNA from 1 species